AAAACCCUUCUUCCCAAACCGAGAAACACUCUUGAAUCUGCUGUGGUUUCAGCUCAAAAACAAAACAUCAUAUAUUUCUAAACCUUGAUAUUGUAAACAAAACCCAUAUACCAGAAAUCUAGAUCUACAAAUCCUAACUUUGAAAUUUUUGUAACCUGAAAAAAGAAUCCUGAAAUCGCAAACCCCAUUACCAGAAAUCUGAUAGUUGAUUGUGCUUCCAGCAGUUUGUUUAUCAUCGGAUUGGAACGAUCUUUGAAGGUAAAGCUUGCACCGAGAUAGGGGAAUAAGAUUUAAGUUUGACUAAGAGAGUUGCACAGACAUCCCAGGAGACCUUUGGAGAUUUCGAAGAAGCAGUUGAGAAAAAUGCAACGAAGACUGCAGUUCUUGAUGGAACUGUCCAUCCUUUCACGAGCUAUGUAAUUAGCUGCAUCAAGUUUCUGUGUGAGUGAGAAGCAAAGGAUUUGUUUGGGGAUGACUGGGUGCAAAUACACCGAAGGAUUUUCCAACAACAUGCAAAUCAAUAUUAGAGGGUCGCUUGGGGGAAGGUUUGUCUUGUCAACUAUAUUCCUUUAUACAUACAGACACAAUAUAUGCUUUUGAAGCCAUUGCAUAUGGGGACAAUAUCUCUCCUUCUUUUAACAAUUUGGAUGUUGUUACGGCUUUGGAAUCAUUGGUGUUAGAAAUUUUUGGUUUACUUUCAUUCUUAUGUUUCACGUGGUAUUCAUAUUUCGGUAUGUAGCUUUGCAUGGGGCAGCAGCCUUAAAGGCAAAGCCAUUAAAAGAAGUAUGGAAUGUAGCUGCAGUAAUACCAUUAGAGAGAGGAAUGUGAAUGGGCAUAAGUAUAUGGGGAUAAUACUUGGGUUCUUUUCCUUAAACUGGCCUGGUUCUACUUGCUUUAGUUCUUAAUUACGUUUUAUUAUUCUUACUGGUAAAAAUGGAUAAUAGUUUAGCAACUACUGCCUGGAGUGGAACUACCAACCAGGUAUGUAUGUCUGUCUUAAUUCAAUUGUGUACUUUUAGUUUUUAACCAUAACUUGGAACUUUCAUAGGUUCAGUUUACUGGAGCACAAGCUCCUAAAAGCACGGAUGAUAUACGCAAGUAUGAACUAGUAAACAUUAUACUUCAUUUUUGGAGUAUUCCCUUCCUCUUUGGGUAAAUUCAUCUGAAAUGAACCAUUGGUAAAGGUGUUUGCUUAUUUGUAUUUCCUAGUUGCUUAACAUAUGAAUUUCAAAUUAUUGUCUGUGAACAAGAAUCUUUUAUGCACGAUCAUUUUUCCCUUUUGGUUCAUUAAUGUAAAAGUUGACUUGUUCUGCAGAAAGCAGAAAUGACUUGUUAAAGAAAGAAAAUGAUACAGGAAGAAGAAAAAGCAUAAACUGUGCAACCAAGAAUCGGGCAAGGCCUAGAUCUAUCCGUAGCAACAACACCUCUAGAUAGCUUUUAAACGUUGCUUGAUAUACUGGGAUGCACAUAUAUACUCCGAAUUUUUCUGUCCCCAAGGAAUAAUCUAAUGUUUUACCCUUAUAUUCUGAACUGCAGAUGCAGCAGUAAGCUCACCAAUAAUGGAUCCACUCCAAAUUCUAUAAUCCCUUCCACCAUUAACCACAUGUGAGUCAUAAGGGUGAACUAGAUGUUCAUCGUGUUUGGUCAGCUGAUGACGAUUACAUGAGUCUUGCGCCAUGGCACGAGCUUUUAGAGACUUUCAUCUCAAGGAUUACGGUGCAAUUGCUAUCCCGCAGAUAACCCACAUUCGCUUAACCAGUGAGGACCCGUUUCUUGUUCUUGCAACUGAUGGAGUGUGGGAUGUCCUUGUUUAACGAGGAAGUUGCAUCGAUUGUAUGGUCUGUUGAGAACAAGGAAGUAGCUGCAAAAGCAGUCGUUAAAGCAGCCAGUGGCCCAGUGCAGCAUGGCGACAUGAUUACCCUUCUUCAUAUUCAUUGUUUUUUUUCUUCUUUGUAGCUGGCACACCUUGGGAAGGUGAUGGAGAAAUGAAUUUACUUGGUUCCGAGGGAGAGAAUACAGUUUUUGACGUGUCUCCUCCAUCGAUAUUGGUAUUUGUUGAGCAUCAUCACAUUACAGUAACACCAAAAUUCCCGUGUUUCUGUUAAUUUAGAAGUGCUCCGACUUAAUAUUUAGAUAUGUCAUAUCUAUCAUGGCAAUGUUUGACCUUUGUUGUUUGCUCAGGUCAUUGAGUUUUCUGUUGGUGGCCGCGUGAUUCACUAUGGGGUAGCAGUUGAUGGUAUUGCAAUUACAGUGGAUGGCCAAGAAAGAGCAACAUUUUGGUAUACAGGUCGCUCUGUGGGGUAGCAGUUGAUGGUAUUGCAAUUACAGUGGAUGGCCAAGAAAAGGCAACAUUUUGGUAUACAGGUCGCUCUGUUUUUUCAAUUUAGUGUGCACAUGUUUUUAGUUGGCAGUUCUAUAUUUUUGGUUUCUCCACAAGGAUGUCUUAUAUUACAUAUACGUAUGCAAUACCCACUAUGCACUAAUG